GUUAGAGAGAAAGAGACAGGUUUAGAGACAGAGAGAGAAGGAGACAGGGUUCGAGACAGAGAGAAAGAGACAGGUUUAGAGACAGAGAGAGAAAGAGACAGGGUUAGAGAGAAAGAGACAGGUUUAGAGACAGAGAGAGAAAGAGACAGGGUUCGAGACAGAGAGAGAAAGAGACAGGUUUAGAGACAGAGAGAAAGAGACAGGGUUAGAGAGAAAGAGACAGGGUUAGAGACAGAGAGAGAAAGAGACAGGUUUAGAGACAGAGAGAGAAAGAGACAGGGUUAGAGACAGACAGACAAGGUGAGAGACAGGGAGAGAGAGCCAGGUUUAGAGACCGAGAGAGAGAGACAGGUUUAGAGACCGGGAGAGAGAGACAGAGAGAGACAGGGUUAGAGACAGAGAGAGACAGGGUUAGAGACAGAGAGAGAGAGAGAGAGAGAGAGAGAGAGAGACAGGUUUAGAGACAGAGAGAAAAAGAGACAGGGUUAGAGAGAAAGAGACAGGUUUAGAGACAGAGAGAGAAAGAGACAGGGUUCGAGACAGAGAGAGAAAGAGACAGGUUUAGAGACAGAGAGAAAAAGAGACAGGGUUAGAGAGAGAGAGACAGGGUUAGAGAGAGAGAGACAGGGUUAGAGAGAGAGAGAGAGAGAGAGAGACAGGUUUAGAGACAGAGAGAAAAAGAGACAGGGUUAGAGAGAAAGAAACAGGUUUAGAGACAGAGCGUGAAAGAGACAGGGUUAGAGACAGAGAGAAAGAGACAGGGUUAGAGACAGAGAGAAAGAGACAGGGUUAGAGACAGAGAGAAAGAGACAGGGUUCGAGACAGAGAGAGAAAGAGACAGGUUUAGAGACAGAGAGAAAGAGACAGGGUUAGAGAGAAAGAGACAGGGUUAGAGACAGAGAGAGAAAGAGACAGGUUUAGAGACAGAGAGAGAAAGAGACAGGGUUAGAGACAGACAGACAAGGUGAGAGACAGGGAGAGAGAGCCAGGUUUAGAGACCGAGAGAGAGAGACAGGUUUAGAGACCGGGAGAGAGAGACAGAGAGAGACAGGGUUAGAGACAGAGAGAGACAGGGUUAGAGACAGAGAGAGAGAGAGAGAGAGAGAGAGAGA